GACGAACGCUGGCGGCGUGCUUAACACAUGCAAGUCGAACGGAAAGGCCCUGCUUUUGUGGGGUGCUCGAGUGGCGAACGGGUGAGUAACACGUGAGUAACCUGCCCUUGACUUUGGGAUAACUUCAGGCAACUGGGUCUAAUACCGGAUAGGCGUCCUUUUUCAAGGUUGGGGUUGGAAAGUUUCGGCGGUUGGGUCUGGACUCGUGGCUUAUCAGCUUGUUGGUCGGGUAGUGGCUUACCAAGGCUUUGCCGGGUAGCCGGCCUGAGAGGGUGACCGGCCAAAUUGGGAAUGAGAUAAGGCCCAGAAUCCUACGGGAGGCAGCAGUGGGGAAUAUUGCACAAUGGGAGGAAGCCUGAUGCAGAAACGCCGCGUGCGGGAUGACGGCCUUCGGGUUGUAAACCGCUUUCGCAUGUGACGAAGAGUGAGUGACGGUAAUGGGUAAAGAAGCACCGGCUAACUACGUG
rnacentral:rRNA from 1 species